GCUGCCGUGCCAUAGAUGGAUUGCUCGCUAUGAGAAAGCGAAAGAGAAGAGAAAGAUUGAAAAAGAUGUGUUUAGAUUAGAGUUAUUUAUCCAACAAGUGAGUUUAUGGCAGUGAAUGAAAAAGGCAUAAAGGUACUUGCGAGUACAUACCAGUCCAAAAGUUAUCCACUGUUUCAUGCUGAGUAUUUCGGGGGCCUCUUCUUUUGCUUCGCACUCUUUCCUUAGCAGUGCGAAGCGCCGCUUUCAAGUGUUCCGCUACAUCCUUGCGGGACGGCCUUGGGAAGUGCCUAUUCCGGAGCACGGCAUCUAAAAAUCAAAUCACGAACAAUUCUUGUCUCGCAAAGUGCGAGAUUGUUAUCUUCGCGGCCCAACCAGGAAUAAGAUGUUAGCAAGCAGUCACCCACUGUUUCUUUAAAAGAGAGGGUGACUGCUUCCUUCAGGUUGAAGCCGCCCACGUACUCCAAAUAGUGUACCUAAACAAAGUUCCGGACCUUGCUGCAUCCCUGGUUCAGGCCUACUCUCCGCUGCAUCUGGAAUAUGUAAACUUUGCGUUGGUGGUGCAUAUACUGUUG